GACGAACGCUGGCGGCGUGCUUAACACAUGCAAGUCGAACGGUGAAGCGAGUGCUUGCACUCGUGGAUCAGUGGCGAACGGGUGAGUAACACGUGAGUAACCUGCCCAUCACUCUGGGAUAAGCACUGGAAACGGUGUCUAAUACUGGAUACGACCAACCCUUGCAUGGGGUGUUGGUGGAAAGAUUUAUCGGUGAUGGAUGGACUCGCGGCCUAUCAGCUUGUUGGCGGGGUAAUGGCCCACCAAGGCGACGACGGGUAGCCGGCCUGAGAGGGUGACCGGCCACACUGGGACUGAGACACGGCCCAGACUCCUACGGGAGUCAGCAGUGGGGAAUAUUGCACAAUGGGCGAAAGCCUGAUGCAGCGACGCCGCGUGAGGGAUGACGGCCUUCGGGUUGUAAACCUCUUUCAGCAGGGAAGAAGCGAAAGUGACGGUACCUGCAGAAGAAGCACCGGCUAACUACGUG
rnacentral:rRNA from 1 species